rnacentral:rRNA from 1 species
GACGGAGGAUGCAAGCGUUAUCCGGAAUGAUUGGGCGUAAAGCGUCUGCAGGUGGCAGUUCAAGUCUGCUGUCAAAGACCGGGGCUUAACUUCGGAAAGGCAGUGGAAACUGAACAGCUAGAGUAUGGUAGGGGCAGAGGGAAUUCCUGGUGUAGCGGUGAAAUGCGUAGAGAUCAGGAAGAACAUCGGUGGCGAAGGCGCUCUGCUGGACCAUAACUGACACUCAGGGACAAAAGCUAGGGGAGCGAAUGGG